ensembl:lncRNA
UUUUUUUUUUUUUUUGAGCCGCCAGUUUGGGAAUGGCAGGGAACGUCACCGUGAACUGUGAGAGAAGGGGAGCGCAGGGGCUGCGGAAAGAGCGAAGCUUGUCUGACACAGGCGUUGGGUUCAGGACGCUGAGUUGUUUCCAGAUACGGGCCCCGUGGAGGACAGUGCUUGAAAACCCACCUUUUUUUUUUGCAGCCUUUUAGCAGUUCCGUGCAGAGAGCAGGUCAGGAGCUGUCAGAGAUCAUCCCUCAGAGCCCAGGGUGGGGGGUUGCCCACAUACGGCUUUGAGUGACAGCCUGGAUCUCCGUUCUGGUAACGGCACCCACGGCAGUGAGACCAGGCCGGUGUCAUGCAGUGCUGAGCAGGUGGCAGAGGCCGGGUCCUCACAGCCGGCCGGGAGCCUCCUUCACCAAGGGAACAGGAGCCCGCUGCCUGCUGCUGAUACAUGGAGCAUGAAGCUGUGAGCAAUGCUCACUGGAGGAGACCGAGCAUGGAAUGGUUUGGGUUGGAAGGGACCUAGCUUGCCUCGCGUUUAGAACUAAAAUGAGACAGAAGUUCUGCAGCAAGCAGUGAUGGAGUUUGUUUACUCUUCAUCUGUUGUCACCUUCUCUUUUGCGAAUCGUUUUAAAUGAGGAGGAAGUGAGCUGACAAAUGUAUGCAGUCUCAGUGCGGUGUCUCAUCUUUCCCGAUAAGAGCACUAAGAGUGUACAGAUCAGCCAGUAAAAUCAGGUGCUUAAUGCUGAAGUCAGAGGACCUCUUGCAUACAUUUGCAACAAACCCUGCAUUCAGGAAUAAAAACACAGCAGUUUGCACUGUUUUCUCAAGUGUGUUCCGUGCUACACCCCUCACUGGUGACUUGCCUGCUGUUUUGAGUUCCUAUUCUGGAAUAGUAAGUGCAGGAGGAGGAAAGGAAUCACCAAAAAACCCAAAAUAUAACCCACACACUAAAGAAAAAAAAAAGAAAGAAAGCUGUAGAGAUAUAGGAAGAGAGAUAAGAGAGAUUUGGACAGAUCUGGACAAGGGUGCCAUAAAUGUGAAUCAUUAACAGAGAAAAAGGGAGGAAGGAUUAGAAGGAAGGACAAGGGUUAUGGGGAUAUAACCAGAGGAGCCAUUCAGACUGCUAUAUUCUUAGGGAAUAUAGGCUUUUUUUUAAUGUAUUUUUGGAAGGGAUUUAAGCUAGGAAAAGGGCUUGGUUUAAAGUUUGAAGGAGUUUAGUGAUGAUGAAAGAAACAGUAAAAAAAAAUAGGUCAACAGUAGUUCUGCAUAGAACUAUUUAUUUUAUCUGUGUUCUUAUCUUGCGAUGGCAAUAGCUGAAGAUGUCUCAUCAGUACAUGAGGGAUGUGACUGCCACAUCAGUUGCUGCCAUUUCAUCUACAUGCACCUUCCCAGAGGAGUUCUUGUUUUGCUAGUGCCCGAGGCAAGGCAGAGCAACAGCACCGCACUAGGGAGACUUCUGUGGUCCCACAACUGGUCGUCCUCGUGGGGAAGAACUGUGUAAAGCAGAGUGUGUGCAAGUUACUGCCUCCACACAGCACCAUGUCUUCCUGUCAUUUUGGAUGUCCUGAUCCCUUUCUGGUUUGCCCUCAGGAGCCAAAGGAAUGCUUACCCUUUUCUGUAAGAGAAGCAGGGUUCAGAAGAUUGAUUAUAACAAUAAACUAUGAUUGUGUUUCUGAGAUUUUACAUGUAAACACAAUCUUAAGUGUAAUUGGUUUCAAUGACUUCCAUUUAAUUCUUGGACAAAGUUUGCUUUUAAAUACCACACCAGAUUGGACAUGGCCGAAGAUAAAUUGAAUGCAAUUAGAUCUACUAUUUGCUUUGAUGAUAUGCUACAUUAUUUCUUACAACAAACCGUUUAUUAUACGAAGCUAAUGGUCAUACUCAUGCAUUUAACAAAUCUAAUAUAUUGGAAACUGUAGCAAAAUGAUAAGUUUCAAAUUGAGUUAUUCAAGUCUAGGGAAAAAAAAAAACAACUUUUUCUAUGCAAGAGUUUCAUCUACAGUUACAUCCUUGUCAAUGCCAAGUCAUCACUUUCACAAAGAAUUCUUAAACUAAGAAUUUCAUCCGCAUUUCUCAUCAUUACGCAAAUCAGAAAUCUUAAUUACACUGCCUCUUCGUGAUGACUUUAAUUUACAUUCGCUUAAUGAAUGUAUAUUCUUAAGUAGAAUGACUGAAUUUAAAUGUUUUUAUGGUGUUGUUAACAUAAUACUCCUUAAAAGUGUUAAUAAGACCUCUAAAAAGACUUGUUCUCAUCUACGCUGAGCCAGCUGUUGCACUGGGCUGUCCUGGAUUUAUUUGAAUACUCACGAAAUUUACUGAAAAUUAGCCUUGUCUCCAUCAUCAUCCCUUCCAACAACAACAACCACAAAGUGAUGUAACAAUGACAAAUGGAAUCCAUGAAACUAGACCCUCAUGGCUGUGACAAGAAUUCUUCAGUGCAUUUCCUGGAAAUUUGUAAAAUCAAGAUGAUUCUUCUAAUAUUUAACCCAAACAAUUUUUACUUCCCUCCCCACCCCAGCUGCUGAAAUUUAUCAUGAUUUCAUCAUGGCAGCUGCAAAUUAAUGAAGACAGUAUAUAGUCCCUGAGAAUACAAAUAUUUGAUCAUAGGAAUUGUUAGCCCUUGAAAUGCAAUGCUGCUUACCACAGAGCUAAUCCAACUACUUUGCAUUCUGAAUUUCCACUUCAAGCCUUACCUUCAGUACUUGUCUUGUUCAUGCAGCUGAGGAAUGCAAAUGCCAUGCCUUACAAGAUAAAAACCAGAAACAGCAGCAGAACACCUGCCAUCAUCCAUUGGCCUAAAACUUACUAACUUAGUGCUUAGACUUCAGGGAAAAGGGCUUGUCCAAAUUAUACCAUUUCUGCAAUGUAUUAGGGAUAAUUUAUGAAUGCCAGACUUUGCUAUUUUGAUGUCUGUUGAAAUUCCAUGGUGGCAAAAGCAGGACACGUGUAACUUAACUUCUCCAACAUGGUGGGAAGUCUUCUGGUAGAGCUAACAAUGGAAAGCCUACUGAGAUUUCCAAUGUGCCCUGUACAGUGACAUGUCAGGUGCUGUGCUCCUGCCUGGCCUACCCCAAGCUCUUUGCUCUCACAGCUCUUCCCAGCUCCAGCUGCGCCUGGCUGCAGUCCCCAGACAUACUGCUGGUCUUACAUUCUGCUGCAAUGCCCUACAGUUUCUUCUUCCUUCCAUUUACCCAAUUCCUCAGGGACUUUUUGCUUGUCUCAGUAUCCCUGCUAUUUCCACUGUCUCUUUUUCUGAACUCAAUGGUUUUUGCUCCCUGUUUUGUAGGGGGCUUUUCUUCUCAGCAGAUCAGUUCCACUUAAGAUGAUAGGAAGAGGUGAUCCCUACAGAAAGCUCAGGAAAUCUACCAAUGAUUUACAAUAAACACUUAAAAAACACUCCAAAUGCCAUAUUGUGUCACUGUGAAAUCUUAAAACGUGGAUUGUACCUUCUGCCAAGCGCUAAGUAGAAAUGGGCUUGUAUGGGCACCUUGCCAUUUUUCUUUGAGAAGAAUUAAUGGACUAGACAACCAAAUCAUCCUUCUUACUCUGCCUCACAUAUCAUGUGUUCAUAAAUCUGUUCACCUUGAAUAAAAACAGCAAACACAACAGAAGAUUUGGCACAUGCGAGCCUUCUUGCAGCACCACAUCUAAGACAUUGUUGUGUUUGGGGCCCUUUAUUCCAAAGCACUGUCUCGUUAUUGUCUUUUUAAGCUGUCUGGUUUCUAAAUUCUGAUCAGAAGAAUGCUCCCAUUGUCCAGAUACCAGCCUGCCUCGUGCCAGCCUGUUGGCCUGACCGGCAUUUCCUUGAGAUCCGUGGUCUCCAGAAAGAGGGCCUAGCAGGUUGAUCGUGGCUGGGCUGGAAGGCCUGGGGCAGCGGACUGCACUGCACAGCCACGCACCUCGGCAAUAUGUGUUCAUCACCCCACGUGUCAGAAAGUCACAGAAUAUCCCGAGUUGGAAGGGGCCCAUGAGGGACCCUCAGUGAAUCCAGCUACCAGCUGGACAACAAAGGA